rnacentral:tRNA from 1 species
UCUUCAGUGGUCCAGAGGUUAGGAUUUCUCGCUUUCACCGAGAGGGCCGGGGUUCGAUUCCCCGCUGGAGAA